UAGUAUUCUAUGUCUUGACCUGGACAGUGGUUAUUCAGGUGGGAUUCUUGUUUCUCUGGAGUCAUCUGUGAGUGUUACUGAUCCCCACUCUGAAUCCCAAGCCAGUAGAGAAGCGUGAGUUUUCAGGAGGGUUUAUUCAUAUCCCGUCUAUAUAUUUUUGAUGGAAACCUGAUAUCUUGAUUCCAGAGCCAAGUGUCUUGUGAUCUGCCAUCAUCCAAAUGUGUUUUUAAGACCUCAUCUCAAUGGUGUUUUCUUCUGCUGCAAAUAGGGUGUUGUUGGUUUCUUUUCUGUUGUGGAAAAUGUCUUGUAUGCCAGUUUUCAAAAAUAAAAAUUCUAAAACUGUCCAUGGAACAUUCUAGGAGGACUCUCAAGAGUGGAGAAGUUCUUGUACAAGUAGUGUUUGUGUUAGCAUCUGGCCUGUGUUUAAAUGAUCACAUUAGGAAAGCAGCCUGUGGGAUUUCAGCUUAAUUACCUAUAACAUACACUAUUCAUGCAAAGAGGAAUGGGGGGAAGUGAGGGAAACUAAUAUUAAAAAUGAAUGCAAUGUAAUGUAUUGCUCCCCAUCCCCCAACC
ensembl:lncRNA